AUACGUAGGGGGCAAGCGUUAUCCGGAUUUACUGGGUGUAAAGGGAGCGUAGACGGUAAAGCAAGUCUGAAGUGAAAGCUCGGGGCUCAACCCCGGAACUGCUUUGGAAACUGUUUUACUGGAGUGCAGGAGAGGUAAGCGGAAUUUCUAGUGUAGCGGUGAAAUGCGUAGAUAUUAGGAGGAACACCAGUGGCGAAGGCGGCUUUCUGGACAUUUACUGACGCUGAGGCGCGAAAGCGUGGGGAGCAAACAGGAUUAGAUACCCUGGUAGUCCACGCUGUAAACGAUGAUUACUAGGUGUGGGAGGUAUCGACUCCUUCCGUGCCGGAGUUAACACAAUAAGUAAUCCACCUGGGGAGUACGGCCGCAAGGUUGAAACUCAAAUGAAUUGGCGGG
rnacentral:rRNA from 1 species